CAACCUGCCCACCACUUGGGGAUAACCUUGCGAAAGUAAGACUAAUACCCAAUGAUAUCUCUAGAAGACAUCUGAAGGAGAUUAAAGAUUUAUCGGUGAUGGAUGGGGAUGCGUCUGAUUAGCUUGUUGGCGGGGUAACGGCCCACCAAGGCAACGAUCAGUAGGGGUUCUGAGAGGAAGGUCCCCCACAUUGGAACUGAGACACGGUCCAAACUCCUACGGGAGGCAGCAGUGAGGAAUAUUGGUCAAUGGACGAGAGUCUGAACCAGCCAAGUAGCGUGCAGGAUGACGGCCCUAUGGGUUGUAAACUGCUUUUAUAAGGGAAUAAAGUGAGUCUCGUGAGAUUUUUUGCAUGUACCUUAUGAAUAAGGACCGGCUAAUUCCGUGCCAGCAGCCGCGGUAAUACGGAAGGUCCGGGCGUUAUCCGGAUUUAUUGGGUUUAAAGGGAGCGUAGGCCGGAGAUUAAGCGUGUUGUGAAAUGUAGAUGCUCAACACCUGCACUGCAGCGCGAACUGGUUUCCUUGAGUACGCACAAAGUGGGCGGAAUUCGUGGUGUAGCGGUGAAAUGCUUAGAUAUCACGAAGAACUCCGAUUGCGAAGGCAGCUCACUGGAGCGCAACUGAC
rnacentral:rRNA from 1 species